rnacentral:tRNA from 1 species
GGCUCUGUGGCCUAAUGGAUAAGACGUCGGACUUCGGAUCCGAAGAUAGUAGGUUGAACUAGUGUGAGCCU